GUCGAACGGCAGCACAGAGGAGCUUGCUCCUUGGGUGGCGAGUGGCGGACGGCUGUGGAAACAUCGGAAUCUACUUUUUCGUGGGGGAUAACGUAGGGAAACUUACGCUAAUACCGCAUACGACCUACGGGUGAAAGCAGGGCAGACCUUCGGGCCUUGCGCGAUUGAAUGAGCCGAUGUCGGAUUAGCUAGUUGGCGGGGUAAAGGCCCACCAAGGCGACGAUCCGUAGCUGGUCUGAGAGGAUGAUCAGCCACACUGGAACUGAGACACGGUCCAGACUCCUACGGGAGGCAGCAGUGGGGAAUAUUGGACAAUGGGCGCAAGCCUGAUCCAGCCAUACCGCGUGGGUGAAGAAGGCCUUCGGGUUGUAAAGCCCAUUUGUUGGGAAAGAAAUCCAGCCGGCUAAUACCUGGUUGGGAUGACGGUACCCAAAGAAUAAGCACCGGCUAACUUCGUGCCAGCAGCCGCGGUAAUACGAAGGGUGCAAGCGUUACUCGGAAUUACUGGGCGUAAAGCGUGCGUAGGUGGUUGUUUAAGUCUGUUGUGAAAGCCCUGGGCUCAACCUGGGAACUGCAGUGGAAACUGGACAACUAGAGUGUCAGGUAGAAGGUAGCGGAAUUCCCGGUGUAGCAGUGAAAUGCGUAGAGAUCGGGAGGAACAUCCAUGGCGAAAGCAGCUACCUGGACCAACACUGACACUGAAGCACGAAAGCGUGGGGAGGCAACAAGAUUAGAUACCCCGGUAGUCCACGCCCUAACCAAGGCGAAUGGAUGUUGGGUGGCAUUUGGGACCCCAAUAUCGAAACUAACGCGGUUAGUUCCCCCCC
rnacentral:rRNA from 1 species